rnacentral:rRNA from 1 species
GACGAACGCUGGCGGCGUGCUUAACACAUGCAAGUCGUACGGUAAGGCCCUUUCGGGGGUACACAAGUGGCGAACGGGUGAGUAACACGUGAGUAACCUGCCCACAACUUUGGGAUAACGCUAGGAAACUGGUGCUAAUACUGGAUAUGUGCCCCUGCUGCAUGGUGGGGGUUGGAAAGCUCCGGCGGUUGUGGAUGGACUCGCGGCCUAUCAGCUUGUUGGUGGGGUAGUGGCCUACCAAGGCGGCGACGGGUAGCCGGCCUGAGAGGGUGACCGGCCACAUUGGGACUGAGAUACGGCCCAGACGCCUACGGGAGGCAGCAGUGGGGAAUAUUGCACAAUGGGCGCAAGCCUGAUGCAGCAACGCCGCGUGCGGGAUGACGGCCUUCGGGUUGUAAACCGCUUUCAGCAGGGACGAAGCUUUUUGUGACGGUACCUGCAGAAGAAGCACCGGCUAACUACGUG